GACGAACGCUGGCGGCGUGCUUAACACAUGCAAGUCGAACGGAAAGGCCCUGCUUUUGUGGGGUGCUCGAGUGGCGAACGGGUGAGUAACACGUGAGUAACCUGCCCUUGACUUUGGGAUAACUUCAGGAAACUGGGGCUAAUACCGGAUAGGAGUUCCUGCUGCAGGGUGGGGGUUGGAAAGUUUCGGCGGUUGGGGAUGGACUCGCGGCUCAUCAGCUUGUUGGUGGGGUAGUGGCUUACCAAGGCUUUGACGGGUAGCCGGCCUGAGAGGGUCACCGGCCACAUUGGGACUGAGAUACGGCCCAGACUCCUACGGGAGGCAGCAGUGGGGAAUAUUGCACAAUGGGCGGAAGCCUGAUGCAGCAACGCCGCGUGCGGGAUGACGGCCUUCGGGUUGUAAACCACUUUCGCCUGUGACGAAGCGUGAGUGACGGUAAUGGGUAAAGAAGCACCGGCUAACUACGUG
rnacentral:rRNA from 1 species